GGUCUAGCAGCAGGAGUACACGAC
rnacentral:siRNA from 1 species